AAACUUUUCAAUCGUUCACCGCAGUGUGUUCUUCUGAUUCUAGAUUUAUUUAGUAAUUUUGCGAUGUUAAUUAUAAAUAGAUUAGCCAUUGAUUGAUUGAUUGUUGGUUGCUUUACGCCGCAUUAGCACAAAAAGGCUAUAUCGCGGCGAGAGCUGAUGCGAAUAUUUUUAUUAUUUAAAGCAUAUUUUUAAAAUAAGACAAAAAGUCCUUCAAUAUACUAAAAUUCUAGACUAAAGCAUA
rnacentral:lncRNA from 1 species